rnacentral:rRNA from 1 species
GACGAACGCUGGCGGCGUGCUUAACACAUGCAAGUCGAACGGAAAGGCCCUGCUUUUGUGGGGUGCUCGAGUGGCGAACGGGUGAGUAACACGUGAGUAACCUGCCCUUGACUUUGGGAUAACUUCAGGAAACUGGGGCUAAUACCGGAUAGGAGCUCCUGCUGAAUGGUGGGGGUUGGAAAGUUUCGGCGGUUGGGGAUGGACUCGCGGCUUAUCAGCUUGUUGGUGGGGUAGUGGCUUACCAAGGCUUUGACGGGUAGCCGGCCUGAGAGGGUGACCGGCCACAUUGGGACUGAGAUACGGCCCAGACUCCUACGGGAGGCAGCAGUGGGGAAUAUUGCACAAUGGGCGGAAGCCUGAUGCAGCAACGCCGCGUGCGGGAUGACGGCCUUCGGGUUGUAAACCGCUUUCGCCUGUGACGAAGCGUGAGUGACGGUAAUGGGUAAAGAAGCACCGGCUAACUACGU